AGAGCAUGUGAGAUUUUUUUAUACACCCUCUAAGAGUGUGUUACCUAACCAAACUGAGCUCUAUUUGUUACAAAUCCUCAGUCCUUUUGUCUCCCAAAGGCAAGAGAUGAAAUGAGAGACAGAGCAGUUUUUUUUUUUUUUUUGCUUUUUUUAGGCCCACACCCCCAGCAUAUGGAGGAUCCCAGGCCAGGGGUUGAGUCCAAGUUAUAGCUGCUGCCCUAUGCCACAGCCACAGCAACACCAGAUCCAAGCCGCAUCUGCAGCCUACACCACAGGUCACAGCAACGCCAGAUUCUUAACCCUCUGAGCUAGGCCAGGGAUUGAACCCUGAAACCUCAUGGUUCCUAGUCGGCUUCGUUAACCACUGAGCCACGACGGGAACUCCUCCCAGAGCAGUUUUAAGCAGCAAAAAUUUCAUUAAGUGAAGCGAGCUAAAAGUACACUCCCAAAGAGGAGAGAAGAGAGCAGGCUGUCUGGCUGGAAACCAGAAGCAGCCACACAAUGAGCGUAGAGCUAGUUUUUCGGACUAGUGGAAAGUUCCUCCUUGUGUCAUUUGAUUGACAAGGUGAUUGACAACUUUAGAUUAUAUAACUUUUCUCCUUGUGCACAGGCCCUUACCCCUAAACAUCCAGGUGAAACCUGAGGGGGUGGGGGACAAAAACCACAAUGCUAGUUUAUUAUAAAUAUGGCAUAAUGAACCCCGGUUGUUUUGGGUUCCCUCUUAGGUCUUGGCGUGCCUGUGCAGUUUGGACAGCCCAGCUGUGUUUCGGACCUUCUACUUGGGCCUGAUAAGGCCGGCCCUUAACCACAAAAGAGAGGGUCUCUGGGUCUGCUCUGGUCAGUGUCAAGGGGUGGGAGAAGGGGAAAAUGACUUUGUCCAGAAUGGGGUGGGACCUGCUCAUGUCUGCCUUGCUGCCUAACGCGUUCACCCAUGCACAGCAAAGCCAGUCUACUGAUCCCGGGUUGUGCUGAAGGAAAGUACAGUGUUUUUUGCAACCUACUAAGCAAGGAGUCCAGGUGGAUGAUGCUCGGAAGACCCCAACUCUGUGAUGUCUUUCAGGAAGGGGUUUCAAAGGCAAGGUGAGGAAGAGGCUUAUGGGGAAUGUGAUCGGCUGGCGCACAGUUUUCUGUUUUGUGGGUGGUGAGGUAACCGAGUGAGGCCACAGGGCUUAAUAUUAUCAACCUUCAACCGCCAGGAGCAAGCCCUCUUUGCUCUCGGUCAUCACGAGAUGGAAACCUGUUUAGGCUCUGGCUUCUUCGAAACAGCCUGAGGGAUGUGCCUUAGACUUUAUCUUUGAGAUAGAACUGGGAGUCCUUGAGGUCAAUUUAUUGCUUAAGUUAAGGUUAUUUCUCUGCCUAACCUGUCUUUGUUUCUGUAUUUCUUAGCUUUUCCCAUCAACUGCUAGGGCUAGUUUCUUUCUCUCUUUACUUGUGGAGGAUCUAGGAGGAUGCAUAUAUUCUAAUCACCAGUAAGCGGGGGACACACUAGGCCUUCUGUCAUCAGGAAGGCCUCUUCAUAAGUCUGCUCCGCUUCCAUCCCCCCCUUUUUUUGUAAUUCUCCUCAAUCCUGAGGGGAAUCGAGGUGAUGAGUGCUCUGGCUACUUCUUGCUCAAUGGGGGUGACAUUUAAAAGGGGGGAGGAUUUGAAGAGAGAAAUUUUUGAGCCUUUAUUUCAAAGAACACUGUGUCCCACAUGGCAUUUUCUAAUUACUGCAAAACAAAUAGAGAAGCCUUUUCUUUCUCUUUCUUGCUUGUUGUCUCCUUCCCUUACAAUAAUACUUUAGCGGGGAAAAUGCUAAUGACUGUCAGAAAGAGAGUAGCCAUCUCUUUAAUCAAAAUUUCUCAUGUAUUGUCACUGGGAGCUGUAUCUAAUCACUUACGAUGGAGCUUGAUAAUGUGGGAAAAAAGAAUGUGUACAUGUAUGUGUAACUGGGUCACCAUGCUGUACAGUAGAAAAUUGACAGAACACUGUAAACCAGCUAUGACGGAAAAAAUAAAAA
rnacentral:lncRNA from 1 species